GUGCUCGCUUCAGCAGCACGUGCGCUAAAAUUGGACGGAUACAGAGACGGUUAGCCUGGCCCCUGGGCACGGAUGACCUGCAAAUUCGUGAAGUGGCCCCUAUUGUU
ensembl:snRNA U6 U6 spliceosomal RNA